CACAGUUUAAUACAUCUUCCCAGUCAAUUCACAGAUAUUGCUGAGUGGAUGGGUUGAGGCACCUAUCACCAUGACAAUAAGAUCUGUAAACAGACAUAUUAACUUCAAAUCUACACAUAAUAUAAUGAAUCCUGUUGCUGCAGGAUGCAAGAACAGGGAGGGAAAGGAAGAAUAUGCCAUGAUUGGAAGAGGUGACUAAGAGUGAGUGCUUUCCUCAGUCCCUGGCUUCCCCAUGAUGGUAUAUUUUCUCUAAACAGCCUGAUCUUGGUUCUUUGGAGAGGGUUGGUUAUUGGCAAUCAGAACACAGAUGAGCCAGGAAUUCUAAGUGCAUUCAGUGAAAAUUAUUGCAAUUAGUGGUAGUGGCUCAUCACUUUGUUUUUCAGCAUAUCUCAUUUGGCAGACCAGGGUCAAGCUGGAAUGUACAGAAUAACACAUUUUCAAAAAUUAAAAUAUGGUAGACUUAAUUCUAUUUUAGAGAAAAUAAGCUCUUUUCACAGGGUAUUGACAAGAAAUCUAGGGCAUGUUAUAAAAUCUGUAUCAGAUAAUAUGAAUUAGUAGUAUCAUCUGUAUUAGUAGUUUAUCAAUUACAAUUUUAGAGUGGACAAAAUAAAAAAUUGUAUUUAAAUAAGAAAUGACUACAGAUUAUUGUUUAGUCUCCCAUAAACAAGAAAAUAAAAUGUGCCCAUGAUUAUUUGUUCAUCAUGAAUAUUUAGUGAUUGCUAAAUUAUGUCUCUCUACUUGUUCCAUAAUGUCUCCAGACAUGUGGUGGCAGUAUGCAUUGAAGGAUUGCCUGAAUGGAAAAAAUGUUCGUUCAUAAAUGAAUAACCCAAAAGAUGCAGUCUCACUAUGUUGCCCAGGCUGGUCUCAAACUUGUGGCCUCAAGCAAUCCUCUUGCUGAGUCUCUCAAGGAACCGAGAUUACAGUCUGAAAUUGGCUGACCAUGGAACAUCUAACCCGAAAACAUGCAUAUCCCUUUCAGAGGGCAAAAGUAAGUACAGGGUCUUAUAUUGUCUGGACUGCUCACUAAAUCAAUUUUAACUUUGAUUAGUAGAAUGGGAUAUCAUAGCAAAGAAUCACGGUAACAUACAGCAUGUAAAUGUUAGUGUUUAAUUAGCAAUGAAAUUACUAUUUCAAAAGCUUCUAAAGGUGGAAAUAUUGUCAUUUUAACGGACAAUAUACUGAUUUUCCACUAAUAUAUUUUGGUAUUUGUACUUCCUUUAUUAUUUUAAGAAAACUGGUAUGUUAUGUUGUGUGAUUACUUUUAAAAAUUCAAAC
rnacentral:lncRNA from 1 species